rnacentral:tRNA from 1 species
GGGGUUGUGGCUCAGAGGAAGAGUGCUUGCUUAGCAUGUAUGAGGCACCAAGUUCGAUACUCAGCACCA